rnacentral:tRNA from 1 species
AGGCAUGUAGCUCAGUGGGAGGGUGCUUGCUUUGCAUGUAAGAGGCCCUGGGUUGAACCCCCAGCAUCUCCA